GGGUAGAUCAACCCCCCGGAUGGAAGAGGGGGGCCAAGCGUGUAGGCCGGUGAUGGGUGUAGGCAAAUCCGCACCCGGAGGUCGAGGCGCGAAGGGGACGCAAAAGAGCGGAAGUGAUUGACCCCAGCUGCCAAGAAAAGCCUCUAAGUGAUGAAGCUUAGGUGACCGUACCGCAAACCGACACAGGUGGGCAGGUAGAGGAUACCAAGGCGAACGGGAGAACCUUCAUCAAGGAAUUAGGCAAAUUAACCCCGUAACUUCGGGAGAAGGGGUGCCCUUGUGUGUGAGACCCGAACGGGAGGAGCACAUGGGGGUCGCAGUGACAAGGCUUUAGCGACUGGUUACCAAAACCACAGGUCUCUGCAAACUCGAAAGAGGACGUAUAGGGGCUGACACCUGCCCAGUGCCGGAAGGUUAAGGGGAGUGGUUAGGGGAAACCCGAAGCUACGAACCGAAGGCCCCGGUGAACGGCGGCCGUAACUAUAACGGUCCUAAGGUAGCGAAAUUCCUUGUCGGGUAAGUUCCGACCCGCACGAAUGGUGUAACGACUAAAGCACUGUCUCGAUGAAGGACCCGGCGAAAUUGAAGACGCGGUAAAGAUGCCGUGUACCCGCAGCAGGACAAAAAGACCCCGUGGAGCUUUACUGCAACUUGACACUGGGUGAGGGUUUAGCUUGUGUAGGAUAGGUGGGAGGCAGAGAAGCCAGGGCGCUAGCCUUGGUGGAGCCGCCAGUGAAAUACCACCCUGGCUAAAUCUUUACUCUAACUCUCAGCCGUAAACCGGCGAGGGGACCGUGUCAGGCGGGCAGUUUGACUGGGGUGGUCGCCUCCCAAAAGGUAACGGAGGCGCCCAAAGGUUCCCUCAGGUGGAAUGGAAACCCACCGCAGAGUGCAAAGGCAUAAGGGAGCUUGACUGCGAGGCCGACGGGCCGAGCAGAGACGAAAGUCGGGCUUAGUGAUCCCACGGUACCGAGUGGAAGGGCCGUGGCAAACGGAUAAAAGCUACCCCGGGGAUAACAGGGUGGUAGGGCCCAAGAGUUCACAUCGACGGCCCUGGUCGCCACCUCGAUGUCGGCUCGGCACAUCCUGGGGCUGGACAAGGUCCCAAGGGUUGGACUGUUCGUCCAUUAAAGUGUCACGCGAGCUGGGUUCAGACCGUCGUGAGACAGGUCGGUCUCUAUCCGCUGUGGGCGUAGGGGACUUGAGGGGAGCUGCCCUCAGUACGAGAGGACCAGGGUGGACGAACCGCUAGUGUGUCAGUUGUACCGCCAGGUGCAUGGCUGAGUAGCUAGGUUCGGCAAGGAUAACCGCUGAAAGCAUCUAAGUGGGAAGCCAGCCCCGAGAUAAGGUCCCCCAUCCCGAAAAGGGAGUAAGGCCGCUGGAAGACUACCAGUUAGAUAGGCGGGAGGUGUAAGCGCAGCAAUGCGUUAAGCUAACCCGUACUAACGGCCGAGGGCUUCCUUAC
rnacentral:rRNA from 1 species